rnacentral:rRNA from 1 species
AAAAUUAGCGGAUGACUUGUGGCUGGGGGUGAAAGGCCAAUCAAACCGGGAGAUAGCUGGUUCUCCCCGAAAGCUAUUUAGGUAGCGCCUCGUGAAUUCAUCUCCGGGGGUAGAGCACUGUUUCGGCAAGGGGGUCAUCCCGACUUACCAACCCGAUGCAAACUGCGAAUACCGGAGAAUGUUAUCACGGGAGACACACGGCGGGUGCUAACGUCCGUCGUGAAGAGGGAAACAACCCAGACCGCCAGCUAAGGUCCCAAAGUCAUGGUUAAGUGGGAAACGAUGUGGGAAGGCCCAGACAGCCAGGAUGUUGGCUUAGAAGCAGCCAUCAUUUAAAGAAAGCGUAAUAGCUCACUGGUCGAGUCGGCCUGCGCGGAAGAUGUAACGGGGCUAAACCAUGCACCGAAGCUGCGGCAGCGACACUAUGUGUUGUUGGGUAGGGGAGCGUUCUGUAAGCCUGUGAAGGUGGCCUGUGAGGGUUGCUGGAGGUAUCAGAAGUGCGAAUGCUGACAUAAGUAACGAUAAAGCGGGUGAAAAGCCCGCUCGCCGGAAGACCAAGGGUUCCUGUCCAACGUUAAUCGGGGCAGGGUGAGUCGACCCCUAAGGCGAGGCCGAAAGGCGUAGUCGAUGGGAAACAGGUUAAUAUUCCUGUACUUGGUGUUACUGCGAAGGGGGGACGGAGAAGGCUAUGUUGGCCGGGCGACGGUUGUCCCGGUUUAAGCGUGUAGGCUGGUUUUCCAGGCAAAUCCGGAAAACCAAGGCUGAGGCGUGAUGACGAGGCACUACGGUGCUGAAGCGACAAAUGCCCUGCUUCCAGGAAAAGCCUCUAAGCAUCAGGUAACAUCAAAUCGUACCCCAAACCGACACAGGUGGUCAGGUAGAGAAUACCAAGGCGCUUGAGAGAACUCGGGUGAAGGAACUAGGCAAAAUGGUGCCGUAACUUCGGGAGAAGGCACGCUGAUAUGUAGGUGAAGCGACUUGCUCGUGGAGCUGAAAUCAGUCGAAGAUACCAGCUGGCUGCAACUGUUUAUUAAAAACACAGCACUGUGCAAACACGAAAGUGGACGUAUACGGUGUGACGCCUGCCCGGUGCCGGAAG